GAUUUAAUUUCAGUUUUUUGCAUGUUUAGAUUAAUUUUUUAGUGUUUUAUUUGAUUUGGGUUUUAAUUACUGAAUAUAUUUUGUUGUUUUCAUUGCUUCUUUCUAAUUUUAAGGGCUUUCAAGUCAGGCGAUGGAGGCUGCUGCCGUGUCCGAUAACUCACCGGCGGAACUGAUCAUUACUGUUCAGAGAGCGGCCGUCGGUAUCGGAGGAACAUCGUCUUCUUUUAAUUUAGUUUGACUCCGUCGAUCAAUUGUGAAGUUAAGGGCUUUCAAGUUAGCCGAUGGAGGCCAUCGCCGUGUCCAAGGACUCACGUCACUCACCGGCGGCGAAACUCAAUACUAUCGGCUGCCGGUAUCGGAGGAACAUCGUCUUCUUUUGAUUUAGUUUGACUGCGUCCAUCAAUUGUGAAGGUCAGUGUUCUUAUUAUAUAUUAUAUGCUCUUCCAACCUUGUUGAUGAAUUUGCAGUUUGUUUAAUUUUCAUUUCUUUGCCAUAUUAUUUUGUUCCUUUUUUGAGUUUUUAUGUUUGUUGUUCAAUGGAUGACUGAAUUUAUAUAUACUCCGUUUGUAUAA